GGACGCUUCCCUGCCCUUUCUUUCUGGCAGAUGAGGCCCCUCUGCUGGUGGAGGGCAAUCAGAGGUGAGCCAACUUCCAGCUCUUUGUCUCUGCUGGGUGUCUUUGGGCCCCAGCCAAACGAUGCAGGCAUCAGUGGCUGAGUCUGAGCCACUAAGCAUCUGUAUCCCGUGUGCUAAGCACAGGGCCAGGUACAAGGUAUCUGCCCAGUUCCUACCCACCCAUUAACAGCCAGCCUGAAUAUCCUAAGAUACCGACCACCCCCUCACCUGGUUCUUAUGGCACUGGGGGCAGAUCUGCAUGAACCUUUUCCUGAUCACUCUUGUCCCCCACUCAGGACAGCCCAUCCCUCUCCUCUGCGCCCUGAGCACACCCCUCACCCUGGGGGCCCUUUCCUGCUUAUAUCUGUCUCCUUACAAGCAGGUGGGAUCCUGGAGGGAAGGGGCCACAUCAUUGUCAUCUGUCUAUUUCCUGUGUCUAGCUCAGGGCCCCUGGCACAGAGGAGGGAGAGGCUCAGGAAAUGUUUGCUAAAUUAAUAAUAAUAACACGAAUAAUAGCAAACAUAUCAUACCUGCGAUGUGCCAGGCUGUUUUAGGCAGUUGGCAUACAUUAACUUAUGUAGUCUCUACAUGGUCUGUACUAUUAUUAUUCCCAUUUUGUAAAUGAAGACACAGAAGCACAGAGGAGGGAGUAAGCAAUUUACCCAAGGUCACCCAGGCGAUAAGUGGCAAAGCCUGGAUUUGAACGAGGUGAUCUUGCUCCAGAGCUGGGCUUUACCCACCCCACUGCCCUGCCUUGAGGGAGGGAGGAGGAGUUAAGGGUUAUUUUGCCAGCCACCUUUUUGGGAAGCACCCCUUCCCUGGAGCUAUUUGUCGGCUCCAAAUCCUUUCUGAUUCACCUCUGCCUCCCCAGAAAAGGUGUUUCAAUACUCCUUGUGCAGACAAAGGGAAUGAGGCACAGAGAGGCGAGGUGACUAGCCCAAGGCACACAGCUGGCAAGUCAUGGGGCUGGGACUCAAGCCCAGGCUAUGGCCUCGCAGCUGCUCCGCCUCAGCAGCAAGGGCUGGCUCUGUCUAUCCUUUCUCCAGGUCCUAGGGAAGAGGAUGGGAUGCAAAGGAGGUUGUUUAUCCAGGAUUGAAACUGAUGAGACACUGCAGUGUGUAGGCCAAGAGGCAGACGGGCCCGGGUACACGACCGAGCAAGUCACUCAGUAUCUCUGAACCUCAGUUUCUUCUUCUAUAAAAUGCAGACAAUGAAAGGAGCCCCCAGCCCGUGUGGUUAUUGUGACAAUGAACUGAGAAUAUAUCCAAGGCACACAGCAAGGGCAGCACGCAUGGGGAUAGGCAGAGUGGCCGCCACUUUUUGUGCCAGACCUCGGGCCCCCAGGCCCAACUGCUGGUUUAGCUCAGCCCAGGGACUCGCCGAGCCGGGGCCCCAGCCCCUGCCUCCCUCUGCCAGGCAGGCCUGGCCUGUCACGCAUAAGCUGCCAAUCCCUCCGAGACCUCUGCCCGCAACAGCAACAAUAAGGGAAGAUUAUCAGCAGAAACACCCGGUGAUUUGGCUUAGCAGCUUCUGGGAAACCGAUCAGAGGAAGAAAUUGAAUUGGACUUGGCUGGCUUGACAGAUAUACUGGCUGUGGGGCUUGGGUGCCAAGUGACUCAACUGGCAGAAGGUCAUGGGUGAGGGCGGCACUCCCACAGGCUGGGCUGGGUGUGUCUCCCUGGGGGUCUGACUGCUUUGCCUGCAGAGGCCCCUGCACAGCACAGCACUGGUUGGCCAAGAGACCCCAGUCUCCGAGGCGGGGAGGCUGUGGCUGGGGGAAGUUCUCCAGGGCUCCUAGGGAAAACAGCUGUGAGGACCAGCAGGCAAAGGGGUAGAGCAUGGAGUGGAAGUGACAACAGCAGAGGCACAGAGUCCAGGGAAAGGUUUCUGAGCCAUCCAGGGGAUUUGCUUUCUUCUGCUGAUGGGAGAGAUGGAAUAAAACCUGCCUGCUGGAGGGGGAAGCAGAAGGGACCCAUGGCUGACAGCAUACAUCCUCCACGCACUCAGUGGGGAAUGAAGCUGCCACUGCCCCAAGACACAGGCUGGAGACAAGGCAGUUUUGGCCAAACCCUCUUCAACUCCAGUAGCUGGGAAAGAGCUGGCCACCCCUGGUAGUGAGGAAUGGGGUGCAAGAGCCAGGAAGACUCAGGUGAAAAGCCACGCUCCAUCUGUGGCAAUGUGAACAGGAGUAAGGGACUCGAGCUCCA